rnacentral:rRNA from 1 species
GCGCAGCAGGCGAGAAACCUUCGCAAUGCAGGAAACUGCGACGAGGGAACUCCAAGUGCCUACGCUCAGCGUAGGCUGUUCUCAAGCCUAGAAAGCUUGAGGAGUAAGGGCUGGGUAAGACGGGUGCCAUCUGUGGUAGCAGUCAAUAGAUUCGAUUUGUUACUGCAAGGCAUAAGCCGCCGCGGUAAUACCCGCAGCCCAAGUGGUGGCCGCUUUUAUUGGGCCUAAAGCGUCCGUAGCCGGCCCGGUAAAUGCCUGGGUAAAUCGUGGAGCCCAACUUCACGAAUUCCGGGUAGACUGCCGAGCUCGGGACCGGAAGAGGGAGAGGGUACUUCAGGGGUAGGGGUGAAAAUUUUCCUUUCCAUUAACGCUUUUGCGCGAAGCGGAAAGGGUUAUCACAAUCCUGUAAUCCCUGGAGGA